rnacentral:rRNA from 1 species
UUUAUGGAGAGUUUGAUCCUGGCUCAGGACGAACGCUGGCGGCGUGCUUAACACAUGCAAGUCGAACGGUGAUGUCAGAGCUUGCUCUGGCGGAUCAGUGGCGAACGGGUGAGUAACACGUGAGUAACCUGCCCCCGACUCUGGGAUAACUGCUAGAAAUGGUAGCUAAUACCGGAUAUGACGAUUGGCCGCAUGGUCUGGUCGUGGAAAGAAUUUCGGUUGGGGAUGGACUCGCGGCCUAUCAGGUUGUUGGUGAGGUAAUGGCUCACCAAGCCUACGACGGGUAGCCGGCCUGAGAGGGUGACCGGCCACACUGGGACUGAGACACGGCCCAGACUCCUACGGGAGGCAGCAGUGGGGAAUAUUGCACAAUGGGCGCAAGCCUGAUGCAGCAACGCCGCGUGAGGGAUGACGGCCUUCGGGUUGUAAACCUCUUUUAGUAGGGAAGAAGCGAAAGUGACGGUACCUGCAGAAAAAGCACCGGCUAACUACGUGCCAGCAGCCGCGGUAAUACGUAGGGUGCAAGCGUUGUCCGGAAUUAUUGGGCGUAAAGAGCUCGUAGGCGGUUUGUCGCGUCUGCUGUGAAAUCCCGAGGCUCAACCUCGGGUCUGCAGUGGGUACGGGCAGACUAGAGUGCGGUAGGGGAGAUUGGAAUUCCUGGUGUAGCGGUGGAAUGCGCAGAUAUCAGGAGGAACACCGAUGGCGAAGGCAGAUCUCUGGGCCGUAACUGACGCUGAGGAGCGAAAGCAUGGGGAGCGAACAGGAUUAGAUACCCUGGUAGUCCAUGCCGUAAACGUUGGGAACUAGAUGUGGGGACCAUUCCACGGUCUCCGUGUCGCAGCUAACGCAUUAAGUUCCCCGCCUGGGGAGUACGGCCGCAAGGCUAAAACUCAAAGGAAUUGACGGGGGCCCGCACAAGCGGCGGAGCAUGCGGAUUAAUUCGAUGCAACGCGAAGAACCUUACCAAGGCUUGACAUAUACCGGAAACAUGCAGAGAUGUGUGCCCCGCAAGGUCGGUAUACAGGUGGUGCAUGGUUGUCGUCAGCUCGUGUCGUGAGAUGUUGGGUUAAGUCCCGCAACGAGCGCAACCCUCGUUCUAUGUUGCCAGCACGUAAUGGUGGGAACUCAUAGGAGACUGCCGGGGUCAACUCGGAGGAAGGUGGGGAUGACGUCAAAUCAUCAUGCCCCUUAUGUCUUGGGCUUCACGCAUGCUACAAUGGCCGGUACAAAGGGCUGCGAUACCGUAAGGUGGAGCGAAUCCCAAAAAGCCGGUCUCAGUUCGGAUUGAGGUCUGCAACUCGACCUCAUGAAGUCGGAGUCGCUAGUAAUCGCAGAUCAGCAACGCUGCGGUGAAUACGUUCCCGGGCCUUGUACACACCGCCCGUCAAGUCAUGAAAGUCGGUAACACCCGAAGCCAGUGGCCUAACCGCAAGGGAGGAGCUGUCGAAGGUGGGAUCGGUGAUUAGGACUAAGUCGUAACAAGGUAGCCGUACCGGAAGGUGCGGCUGGAUCACCUCCUUU